GACGGAGGAUGCAAGUGUUAUCCGGAAUCACUGGGCGUAAAGCGUCUGUAGGUGGUUCGAAAAGUCCACUGUUAAAAAUUGAGGCUUAACUUCAAAGAUGCCGUGGAAACUUUCAAACUAGAGUAUGGUAGGGGUAGGGGGAAUUUCCAGUGGAGCGGUGAAAUGCGUAGAUAUUGGAAAGACCACCGAUGGCGAAGGCACUCUACUGGGCCAUUACUGACACUGAGAGACGAAAGCUAGGGGAGCAAAUGGG
rnacentral:rRNA from 1 species